rnacentral:lncRNA from 1 species
AUGAAGACGGGGCCGGGGGGCCCCCGAGGGGGUCUCCGAGGGGGUCUCCGUGCGGGAAUCAGGGUCGCCACCCAGCCGAGAGCGGCCCCUGACGUUUCUGCCGCGCGCUGGGACCGAACCUACAGGAAGCAAAACCCUAGAGGAAGAAGUCGGUGGCUUUUUGGCUCGAAGACAAAAUGGAGCCCCGCCGGUGCAGCCUGGGCUCCCUCAGGCACAUCCCCAGCCACUGCAGGUGUCCCCGGAGGCCUUGAAGUCCUCCCGCGCGUCUCGAUGCCACCAGUUUUUGUUUCUUUGAUUUCAGAGGUCAUACGGAGAAUGAUGUAAAUUUUAUGGAGACUUUAUCAAGGGAACUCGAUGUCAAAACAGAGGAAUCUACAGAGAAGAAACUCAAUUUCUACUGCAGAGCUGUACAUGUCAGCAUGAAUCAUUUCCACCUGUGGAAAUUGAUGACCAAUACAUAGAUCUGAGUGAAUGAAUGAUUUUGAUCAUUUAAAAACCCAGUCUUGUUCAUUUGCAUCUGCAGUGGGCAGUCCUCUUAGAGUUUGAACUUCAUUAAAUCAUUUCCAUAGUUUAGAAUUAAUUGAAUUAAUUAAUUACUUAAAACAAGGCUUUCAGAUAGAGGAAGCUACAGACAUAUGCACUUCUGUUUUACUAAUUUGGAAACAGAAGGCCGCAGGUACUGCGUAUGCAACUGUAUCUUCCCAGCAAGCAGCCUGGAUGGGAGGCAGCCUUCAGUUCCACUGUUCUCCUUUUUGUGUGUGUGUGUUGGUGGGGGGCGGGGGGAACUUAUCUUCUAGUGAAUACAUAUCAGGAAUUAAAAUGGAUGAGCUGAUCAUUUAAUUCGACAUGAAUAGAUACUGGGACAUGUCCCAGAUAGGUUCCGCUUCAGGAUGAAUAUGGGGAAAUGCGAUGCAUCCUGGGAGACGUUUAUUCCCCCUCAUCCACUUGACGAAGUGAUUGAUACUGCAGCUUACAGAUUUGAUCAGAUUAUUAAUAGAGGCAGGUGGGCCAUGCGGAAGGUAUGUUACUAUGUUAAUUAUGAAUUUCAGUAUUUAUUCUCUAAUGGAUAUUCAUGGUGUCAUAUUUCUCACUUACUUUGUUCUUAGGUCAUAGUUUCAAUCUUUUAUAAACCUUGGCCAAUAUCAACAGAUUAUAAGAACUGGAUCCAAGGAUUUUUGUUCACAACUUUCUUUACAUAGUAAUUCCAGAC